rnacentral:rRNA from 1 species
UGCAGUGACGGCGUGCCUUUUGCAUAAUGAACCUACGAGUUACCUUCACCAGCAAGGUUAAGGGCCACAAGGCCCGCAGCCGCAGUGAAAGCGAGCCUGAACAGGGCGACAUGAGUUGGUGGUGGUAGACGCGAAACCAAGUGAUCUACACAUGUCCAGGAUGAAGUCCCGGUAACACGGGAUGGAGGUCCGAACGGAUAAGCGUUGAAAAGCUUCCCGAUGAGGUGUGUGUAGGAGUGAAAGGCCAAUCAAACUUGGAGAUAGCUCGUACUCCCCGAAAGGCAUUUAGGUGCCGCGUGCAGUGUUCUCCCCAAGAGGUAGAGCGACCGAUAGGACGCGAGGGCUUCACCGCCUAUCAAGUCCUGACGAACUCCGAAUGCUUAGGGGACAGUAGCUGCGCAGUAAGGGGACGGGUGCUAAGGUCCGUUCCCGAGAGGAGAAGAAUCCAGACCGCCGUCUAAGGUCCCGGAGUUCUGCCUGAGUUAGUCUAACGAAGUCUGGUCCCCGCGACAGCCAGGAUGUUGGCUUGGAAGCAGCCAUUCAUUUAAAGAGUGCGUAACAGCUCACUGGUCGAGGGUCCGGGCGUGGAUAAUAAUCGGGUAUAAGGCAGACACCGAAGACGCGGGAUAGCAUUGAAAAAAGUAUCGGUAGGGGAGCAUUCCAUGCGCGUUGAAUGCGGCGAGGCGAUUGCCGCUGGAGCCCAUGGAAAAGCAAAUGUAGGUAUAAGUAACGAUAAGGGGGGUAAGAUUCCCCCCCGCCGCAAGACUAAGGUUUCCCGGGCAAUGCCAAUCAUCCCGGGGUCAGUCGGGUCCUAAGGCUCAGCCGAACGGCGAGGCCGAUGGCAGAAAGGGUCAACAUUCCCUUACUGCCGCACGGAGCGAUGCGGAGACGGAGGCGUGACACCACCGCGGAGAUACGGAAUUCUCCGUUGAAGGGCGUAGGCGUUGAGGGCGGCAGGCAAAUCCACCGCGCGAGCCGAACCCCGAAAGUAUGCCGUUCCCCUCGGGGAAGGGCAAUAGCGUGGGUAAGCAUACUCCCGAGAAAAUCCGCUAAGCUUCAAUCCGUGCGGCACCCGUACCGCAAACGGACACACGUAGUCGGGUAGAACAUACUGAGGCGUUGAGAGAUUCAUGGUUAAGGAACUAGGCAAACUGACCCCGUAACUUCGGGAUAAGGGGUCCUCGUCGCAAGGCGAGGCGCAGAGAAUAGGUCCAGGCAACUGUUUAACAAAAACACAGGGCUGUGCCAACUCGAAAGAUGACGUAUACAGCCUGACACCUGCCCGGUGCCGGAAGGUUAAGAGGAGAGCUCAGAGGCAACUCGAAGGUUUGAAUUGAAGCCCCGGUAAACGGCGGCCGUAACUAUAACGGUCCUAAGGUAGCGAAAUUCCUUGUCGGGU